UAUAAUCUAUCGUGCCCUAAAUAGAAUUAGGGCAGAAAAAAGAGCCAAACAAAUUUAUACCUAUUUAUACCUAUAUAUUAUUUUUCAUGCAGUUUGUCACUUGGUAAUUCCUCCUUCACCCCCUCCCUUCUCACUCCCUUAUGCUUCGCCUUCCCACCUCAUCUCUAUCCGAUGUUUCUUCUUCCCACUCGCCUACUUUCUAAUUAAUAUAUUCACAUAAUUCAUUUUCAUUAAAAUAAAUCACUUUAAAGAAAAGAGUAAAAUAAGAUCUCUUCAUACUCAUUUUUAUCACUUUUUCUGCUUUUUCUUAGUGCACAAGAAGGGUUCAAAUUUUAUAUUUUUCUUAAUUUUUUUUAUUUUUAAAAUUGUGUGCAGAUUGAAAUUAGGGUUCUGAGAAUUGCGACGGUGCGGCGAAAUGAAGUGCAAUGGAUUUGGAGUUAUGAGAGGAAAGAAGCGGUGGGUGUGGGGGGAUCCAUACGGUAUCAACGUGGCUGUGAUCAAGGAGAAUCGGCGUCGACAAUGGCGGCGGAGGCGACGGAGAGAACGGGAAU
rnacentral:lncRNA from 1 species